CGGGACGUGAUUGUCCCGAAGAACCGAUUAAAAAUUCAUGCAACCCAGAAGAGCUCACGAGACCAGCACCGCCAGAGGCGCUAGUGUAUUUUACUCACAUUUUGGUAAAUUUAUUUGAAAGUGUUUUGGUAAGUGUAGACUUUUUUGCUGUGAGUUUUGACAGAUUUCUGUCUGAGGUAAUAACCUCAAUCUUUGCGUUUAUUUUAUUUACGGUUCCCGGACCUAAAAAUCUGGCCAAGUUUCUCUUUCGUACACCGUCGCAGAACGAUUCCGAACUCGACCCUGGAAUCACUUAUCUCAAUCUACCCGUAAUGGUCUUAUCUUUAAAUCUUUAAAAAAUGAACAAAGCGGCUAUCCUCGAUGUGGUCUACAGUCCAGCGAAAUCGAUGCUACUGCUGAGUCGUGAAAAGUUAGCUCAAUUUUGUCGCUUGGACGGUGAAAUUGUUCUGGCGGAGGUAUACAAAGCGGAAUUUGUUACGCAAGAACUGGACCGGUGCAUGAUCCACCCGCAGUACCGCAGCUACUACAGCGCUACCCCAAGGCUCGGGCUGACUAGAGUUCAAACGUGUUGGUGCUAUAUGCCCUGCGUCGGAAGUGCAAAGUGCUGGCCGAGCUGUGGAUAAUGCGAGGCCAAAACCGUCACCGGGACUAAUACACUGCGGUGAAGGAAAGUUACUGCAAACGAGAGUUACCAGGGAAGCUCUGGAGGAGUUUAACUUCACCGCUAUCGGAGAACUCCGCCUUUGGAUCUCUUUUAUUUUUGCAUUUAUCCGGAACAUCACCGACAAACGCUCCCUAAUGAAGCUGGACGAUGGAGCAAGUUGCCACUCAAUUACCCAUUGCAACCGGACACGAUGAUCUGUUUGCGUUCCGCGAAGUCAUAGCGGAAUCGCAAACUUGUCGACUACUUUGUUACAAUUCCCCAUCGAGAAAGACAAUGGAACAGCAUAUAAUUUCAGCAGGGCUUUCAAGGCUUCACAGCACGAAAAUAAUCGAAUGCCAUUAGUGUUACCUAAUUUUACGUGGAAUCAAGGCACAAACCUUCUGCACCGCACAGUAAAAGUGUAAAAGUAGAAUUGGCAGCUCCUUAGAAGAUAACGAAUACGCUGGAUGUACCGAAAUCGUCCCAACAACAUGACGACUCGAAAUGUGAAAGAAACAUCGUCAAGUAACUAGUCCAUUUCAUAAAUGUAGUUGAUUAAUAUAAAUAUGUCUAUCGAACACAUUGAAGACCCGAAAUUCAUGAACAAGUUUUUACAGAAAGAUUUAAAAAUUACUUACAUAGGGGGAAUGACGGCUUUGGCAGGUUUUGUUCUAUUAUUGGCAAGGGGUUUUUUAUGACUUACUAGGCUUAAAUUUGGCCUAAACAUUCUUUGCAUAUCAAAAAAUAUUGUGGCCAAAUUUCAUAAAAUUUGGUCGACAAAAACCCCCCUGCCAAUAAUAGAACAAAACCUGCCAAAGCCGUCUUUCCCCCUAUUUAUCAAUUAUGCUAUUGCUAAUGAAUUGCUCUGAACAUGGGUCAUAGAAGAGAUGAUCCAAAGCGCAAAAGGCUGUCGAGAAUAUUAUAGUCUAUGCUAUAUAUUUUUUUAUUUAUCGUACCAACUAUGUUAAGUGGUUGGAUAGUAAGGGAGAGAAGUAAGAAAGAAAAAGGAAGUAGGAAAAGUAAGAUAAAGAUGGAAGAAGGAAUAAUGAUUUAGCAAGAUCAAGCAAGGAAGAAGUAAAUGGCAGAAGGGAGAGAGAAGACGGAAGAAGGAAGAAAGAAAAAAAGAUGAAAGAUUGAAGAAAAACAGAAGAAAGAAGAAGGAAAAAGUAAGAUAAAGAUAAGACAAGAACCAUCGACACAGUUUGCUGUUUGUUCCAAGUUCUACAAUUGCAAAACCUGCGGUGCAUCGUAUGGCCUGGAAGAACUUGUACGAAAGCUAAUUGGCCAUGUGGCACAAAAUAAAACCCUAUUCCCGAACAUAAAAUGUGUGCCCACCGCCUCCAACACCGGCUUGCAGCAACGGAAGAUAAGGUUACAGCGGUGCUAGCAUAUUAAAUAAUAUUGUCGCGUAAAAUGCACGAUGACAUUUAUUCAAUAAAUAUUAUAUUUACAAUUAUAU